GGCGAAAAUUGGGCAGAUAUAAUGGUACCAUCAUGGCCAUUCAUUGAUGCAGUACAACGAGUAACAGCACGGACACGAAAUACAGCUUGAGGAGUGUAGAGUAACGUUAAGUGAUCCUCAGUUUUCAUAAGUCCAUUGUGAAAUACAGAAGUGUAUAAAUUAUCUUGAAUUUCGAUAGUUUCAUCUUCAUGAUGAAGAGCAAAAUUAUACGGAACAGGAUCGUCGGACUGUGAGGAUUAUGUUAGCACAUUUACAGAAAAAAAACUUUCAUUCUUACAUUCUCUAAUAAUUGGUUCAACAAGGCUUCCAAUUGCCUAACAGAACUAUUUCCAGGAACUAAAAGUGAUGCCAGUUCAUUGCUAUCAUCUGACGCCCGAAACUGAACGUUAACGAGCGGGAAUUUUUCAGGAAUUUCUAUAGUAGUAGGAUUUAAGCUCUCCUUUUUUUGACGUUUACUUUUAGGAGGCAGUAAAGUCGCCAUUUUAGAAGGAUUUAAAAAAGGAAGGAUUUGGU